rnacentral:rRNA from 1 species
UACGUAGGGUGCGAGCGUUGUUCGGAAUUACUGGGCGUAAAGGGCUCGUAGGUGGCCAACUAAGUCAGACGUGAAAUCCCCAGGCUUAACCUGGGAACUGCGUCUGAUACUGGAUGGCUUGAAUUCGGGAGAGGGAUGCAGAAUUCCAGGUGUAGCGGUGAAAUGCGUAGAUAUCUGGAGGAAUACCGGUGGCGUAGGCGGCAUCCUGGACCGAGAUUGACACUGAUGAGCGAAAGCUAGGGGAGCAAACGGG